UACGGAGGGUGCGAGCGUUAAUCGGAAUUACUGGGCGUAAAGGGCGCGUAGGCGGUGUGUCAAGUCAGGCGUGAAAGCCCCGGGCUCAACCUGGGAACCGCGCUUGAGACUGGCACGCUCGAGUUCGGGAGAGGAUGGUGGAAUUCCCAGUGUAGAGGUGAAAUUCGUAGAUAUUGGGAAGAACACCGAUGGCGAAGGCAGCCAUCUGGACCGACACUGACGCUGAGGCGCGAAAGCGUGGGGAGCAAACAGG
rnacentral:rRNA from 1 species